CCCCGCCCGCCCCUCCGAAAUCGUCCCCCCCCAUUUUUUUUUAUUUUCAAAAAAUUACGAUUUCCGGAUUUUGUUCAUUUCCGUUUCCGGUAACCGUAAAAAAUUUCGUUUCCUUCAGAACUUCCUGUUUCAAAUUUCGGUUUUUGUAUUUCUUCGAGUAAUUGAAAAUGAUUCUGCAGCUCUAUGAUGACAAAAUCAUCUACCGAGAAUAGAGAUUGAUUACGAGAAGGGUAUAAAAUAAUCGGUUUACAAGUAAUACGCUGUGUCCAAGAACGCAAAUCGCGGCAUGACACAAAUUUCUGUGGUUAGAAAACCGUUGAUUUUUUAUUGAUAAAAUGACUUUGUGGCAGAAAUAAUUUUUGGACUGUGAAUUAUAUCCAAAGAGAAAGAACUUGGAACACAUUGGUACAAAAACAAAACUGCAUGGAUUAAAAAAAUUGACACAAGCACGAACUUGUUAGAUUUAUGACAGUAUAAUGAGUUCAAAAAGUCGGCAAACAUACGCUUAGGUUUACCCAUGGCUAUUGUUUUUUGUUGACAAACAGCAAACACCUUCUGUUUCAGUAUCCUCAAUAGAGUCAUUAAACAACUUCUUCUUUUUUGUUAAGUUCGUGUUUUACAUCUUAAUCAUAUUUGCAUCUAUAAGAAGAAUCUUAAAAACACCAAC
rnacentral:lncRNA from 1 species